rnacentral:rRNA from 1 species
CAGUAGCCGCGGUAAUACGGAGGGGGCUAGCGUUGUUCGGAAUUACUGGGCGUAAAGCGCACGUAGGCGGCUUGGUAAGUUAGAGGUGAAAGCCCGGAGCUCAACCCCGGAAUUGCCUUUAAGACUGCCGAGCUAGUAGGUGAGAGAGGUAAGUGGAAUUCCGAGUGUAGAGGUGAAAUCCGUAGAUAUUCGGAAGAACACCAGUGGCGAAGGCGGCUUACUGGCUCAUUCUAGACGCUGAGGUGCGAAAGCGUGGGGAGCAAACAGGAUUAGAUACCCGUGUAGUCCCUGUCUCUUAUAC